UUAUCCGGAUUUACUGGGCGUAAAGGGUGCGUAGGUGGUUUCUUAAGUCAGGAGUGAAAGGCUACGGCUUAACCGUAGUAAGCUCUUGAAACUGGGAAACUUGAGUGCAGGAGAGGAAAGUGGAAUUCCUAGUGUAGCGGUGAAGUGCGUAGAUAUUAGGAGGAACACCAGUAGCGAAGGCGGCUUUCUGGACUGUAACUGACACUGAGGCACGAAAGCGCGGGGAGC
rnacentral:rRNA from 1 species